rfam:Neotoma lepida isolate 417 scaffold_32, whole genome shotgun sequence.
GGGAAAUGCACAAAGGGGCCAGCCUCAGGCCCUGAGACAAUGUUAUGGGGUA